rnacentral:rRNA from 1 species
GAUGAACGCUGGCGGCAGGCCUAAUACAUGCAAGUCGAGCGGACAGACGGGGCGUUUGCUCCUCUUACGUUAGCGGCGGGCGGGUGAGUAACACGUGGAUAACCGACCUAUAAGACUGAGAUCAGUUCGGGAACCCGGAUCUAACACCGGACAAUAUAUUGAACGUCAUGGUUCAAUAGUGAAAGACGGUUUUGCUGUCACUUAUAGGUGGAUCCGCGCCGCAUUAGCUAGUUGGUAAGGUAACGGCUUACCAAGGCAACGAUGCGUAGCCGACCUGAGAGGGUGAUCAGCCACACUGGAACUGAGACACGGUCCAGACUCCUACGGGAGGCAGCAGUAGGGAAUCUUCGGCAAUGGGCGAAAGCCUGACGGAGCAACGCCGCGUGAGUGAUGAAGGUCUUCGGAUCGUAAAACUCUGUUAUUAGGGAAGAACAAAUGUGUGAGUAACUAUGCACGUUUUGACGUUACCGAAUCAGAAAGCACCGGCUAACUACGUG